rnacentral:rRNA from 1 species
GACCGAGGGUGCAAACGUUGUUCGGAAUUACUGGGCGUAAAGGGCUCGUAGGUGGCCUACUAAGUCAGACGUGAAAUCCCUCGGCUUAACCGGGGAACUGCGUCUGAUACUGGAUGGCUUGAGUUUGGGAGAGGGACGCGGAAUUCCAGGUGUAGCGGUGAAAUGCGUAGAUAUCUGGAGGAACACCGGUGGCGAAGGCGGCGUCCUGGACCAACACUGACACUGAGGAGCGAAAGCCAGGGGAGCAAACGGG